UCCCUUGUGGCUCAGUUGGUAAAGAAUCCGCCUGCAAUGCGGGAGACCUGGGUUCGAUCCCUGGGUUGGGAA
rnacentral:tRNA from 1 species